UUCUAUCACAAAAAUACCCCUAAACUUGACAUAUAUAAUACUCCUUAUAACUUUGAAACCCUAAUUCUCUCAUUUUUCACUCUACUGCGCCGUUCUCUCCUCUAUUCUUAAUUUCUUAUUCUUCUUGUUUUACUUUCUCAUCAAAUUAAACCCUAUUUUCUAAUUGAUUUUAUCAAUUUCUUUUGCUAUUGUCUUUCAAAAUAACACCUAAUCACACAAUUUCCUUAACGAAUGAGCACUUUAAUUUGCUGGAAGGUCAUAUUUGUUGCUUCUGAAAUUUAUUAAUAUGCCUUCGAAAUCGAAAUUUGCUUGAAGUCCAGAUCUGAUCCUAAAGAAGAUGAAGUUGCUGGAAAUCCUCCUAUUUAUUAUUGCUUUAUUUGAAUGAGAUUUACUGAUUUUUUGUAUACAUUUAUUUUUUUUAAUUCUUUUGCUGAUAUUGUUAGCUGUAAUAUUUUUGAUUCAAAGUUGUAAUUUUAUUUCAUGUGGCUAUAUUUUAAUUGUAAAGAUCUUCAUCUCUUUAAAUAUGAAUUUGUUCUUUCUGUUUCA